GUCUUUUACUGACAUGGUGUCUAACAUCGCUGUACGAAUCAUGUUUUGCAUGGAUAGCUGCAUCAUGGUUACAAGCGCGUUGAACUGACCAGCGUCUAGCAAUACAGUUUGAUUUUGUAAGUUUUGUAGGAGGUUGUGCCCUUGAGGCGUGGCUUCCGGAGCUAACGCGUUAAGUAGACCGCCUGGGGAGUACGGCCGCAAGGUUAAAACUCAAAUGAAUUGACGGGGGCCCGCACAAGCGGUGGAGCAUGUGGU
rnacentral:rRNA from 1 species